UAAAUUACGCUCUGUUAUUUGUAAUUUCGAAGGUUAUUUAGAUUAUUUUAAAUUUUCUAUAUAAAGCUUUAUAUAGAGAAUUUAACAAUAAGGUUUAUUUUGUUUUAAAUUAAAAGCCAUUAGUAUUACUAAAUAAUAUAUAAUAACAUAUAUGGUAAGUUAAUACAUAUCAUAAAUGGUAAGUUACUACAUGUCUAAAUCUAGAAAACUAUGCAAGAAUAUAUGCAAUCCAUAUAGUCUAUAUUAUAGAAAUAAAAGUUCAACUAAUCCUUUACUAGUAGUAAAGGGUUAGUUGAACAAUUAUUUCUAUAUAUAGACUAAAUGGAUUAUUUAUAGUCUUUUUUAACUUUUUAAAAAUGUUAACAUCUUUGAUAGGUAUAUUUAUUUAGGUUAGUUACAGCUAAGUUUACAUGGCUAGUUAAUAUGCUUUUAUAAAUUGCAACUUUUAUUAAUUUCCAAAUUAAACAUGUGGCAUCCAAUAUCAUAAACUAAGUUUAUACUGGUGUGUUUAUAUUAUUUUAGAAUUUUUUGUUUUAGACACAUAGCAUUUGCUAUCCCAUUGUAAGUUAAAACUAGUUGUAAAAUUAAAAAAUUUAUAUUCGAAAUUCUUUUUAUUUUAACAUUCAUGUUUAUUUAAUUGAGUUACAACUAAGGUUAUACAUGAGUUAUUUAUACUAUCUUAGAAUUUGCUGCUUUAGAGGCACGGCAUUUAGUGUCACAUUGUAGGUUUAAAUUGGUUGUAGAAUUUAUAUUGUAACUUGCAUAUUUAUUUAGUUGAGUUUAAUCUAAGUUAUAUUUGAUGUGUUUGUAUUAUUUUAAAAUUUACUCUUUUAGACACGUGGCAUGUGGUAUCCCACUAUUACAACUAAGUUUGUGUAUGGCUUGUUUAUAUUAUUUCAGAAUUUGCUAUUUUAGACACUUGGUAUAAGCUGUCAUACUAAUUUGCUGUUUUAGACACGUGACUUGUGAUAUCCCACUAAUUAGCUAUUUUAAACAUGUGCCAAGUGGUAUGACAUUGUAUUGAUGUAUGUGAAAUGUAUAGAGUCUUUCAGUUAUCAGAUGUCAAGGAGUUGACAGCAUGGUGUCCGAUUAAAAGUGCGAACCUGUGUACGCGUAACAGCAGUAUUCAAAACCAAAACCUAUUUAAACCAACCAAACCAAAACUAGCGACCAAAAACUAAUAUCUUGGCAUUGGUUUAUUUUAAACAUCUAUUAUAUAUAUGUUUGUGUUUUAUAUAAAUGUACUAGCUUGAGUAUAGUGUAUUAAAAAUAUUUUUUUUAACUAUUUUUAUUGUAAUUUAAGUAUA